CGGGGAGUCGCAUAGCCUGGUAUUGCACGAGCUUUGGGUGCUCGUUUUCGCUGGUUCGAAUCCAGUCUCCCCGACCA
rnacentral:tRNA from 1 species